GGGACCUCCAGGCCCACAAGGCAGACCAGGACCCCCUGGACCCCCUGGAGAACCGACAGCACUACCUAUUGUUGGAGACAUGGGGACAUUACUGAAGAACGCCUGCAGUGUGUGUCAGACCAGAGUACCAGGAUUGCCAGGGCAGAAAGGAGAAAA